UACGAAGGGGGCUAGCGUUGCUCGGAAUGACUGGGCGUAAAGGGCGCGUAGGCGGCCUCGUCCGUCCGGCGUGAAAUGCCUGGGCUUAACCUAGGAAUUGCGCUCGAUACAGCGAGGCUAGAGUGUGGGAGAGGUUGGUGGAAUUCCCAGUGUAGAGGUGAAAUUCGUAGAUAUUGGGAAGAACACCGGUGGCGAAGGCGGCCAACUGGACCACAACUGACGCUGAGGCGCGAAAGCGUGGGGAGCAAACAGG
rnacentral:rRNA from 1 species